UAUUUGAUUUAAACGAAACAUGAGGGACCAAAGUGGGCUAACUUGAAAGUUGUUAUGUUAAAUGAAAAUAACACACACACACACACACAUUUUCGUGUGUGUUCUGUACGUGAUCAGGGAAGGCUCUAGAGAGCCAAACCCUAGUUCAUCAUAUAUCAACCAAUUGAAGCAUGAAUCGAGGCUCAAAUUCAAGAAGGAACAUGAAUUAACGAUCACCCAAGUUAGGGGAUCAUAAGGAAUCAUGUCAAGACGGAUGGGAGCUUUGAAGGCUAACGGGCUAAGAGGACUCAAUCAAGUAAGCGAACGAGAAUACGGACGCGCAAGGCUAUACAUGUUUGGAUGUUUCAUCUAGUAGCGUACGCGGUUGAAGAUCGAGUCAAGGCACGGAUUGUAUGUGGGUGUAUACGUAGUCACUUAAUUGAGUCAUGUAUGUUAGUUUUUGCAUUAAAUUAUAAAAGAGAUUAAUGUAUUUAAAUGAAAGAAAGAAUAUCAUGAAGGAAAUUUCUAGUUA